rnacentral:lncRNA from 1 species
GCUUUGUGGUUAUGAUGACAUAAGCUCCCUCCCAGAAGACGGAAAUGGAGAUGGAUAGAGCAUUUCGCCCACCCUUUCCUAUCGUUCGUCUGUCUUUUGCACGAAGCAGGGGACAUAACGGAUGGACGGACGCCAAGUCACGAGAGAUAACUAUAACAUUCCACUUUUCAAAAUAUUGGGUAUUCUCCAAAAGAGCUCCAAGUAACGACAAGACAGCAGAGACUUAGCCGUCAGAUAAGCUAACCCACCUAGAAAUAUAACAAAACGCUCUUAACAAAGUAAAAAGACAUAUAAAGACAUGUAUUUAUAGCCAACCAUUCAGAAACGGACAUAGGCGUUGGAGGAGCUAACCCAUCUAGGGCUGAACCCCAGUGCUUCUACAAGCCCUCACACUGUGGAGGCUGUAAACAUUAGCGCAUGGUAUCAGAGCGAAAGCCACAGCCCCUUCCAGAGAGGGGCGUGGUUACACACAGCUCAUUAUCAUUUAAAGGUACAGACGCAGAAUCAGCCCGUUCUCAGUAGAGCUCAAAAAAAGGGGGAUACAGACUGGCUGAUAUCCACAAAUAAACUGGUGUUUUGGACAACAGACUUCAAAUUUAUUAUUGUGGGACCUCUGUGACCGAUUUAAACUUGAUGAAAAAUGCCGUAAUAGGAGACCUUUAAAAAAAUUUUGCCAGUUGCUUCUUGAGACUCCAUCCCCCACCUUGCUCCAGCAUGAAGAUUAAUGAACAUCCCUCUCAGGUUUAGACCCUCCAGAAGUUGUACCAAGGUCCACCUGCAUAGCCCCCCUUCUCAGCUCUGUUUCUCUCUCUGGGCCUUUACCCUGUCUUCUUAUUGCGUCUGAACUCCUGACCAGUGUGUUAAACACAACCUAUAAACCAUACCGUGCAUCCCAACAAAGCUGUUCCUAGUCUAGCGUAUAGUGUCUGUCUGACAGGCAGGCUAAUGAGAGCUGUAUCUCCUCAUCAGUAUGCUUUAAUGUACAUCAUGUCACCCACUCACGGAGUCUGCAGACAAACUAGCGGCAUGAGUUUUCUCACGGGGCACAAAUGAAUCAGACCGGUUUUAUUAAAUCUGUUGGCUCUGGAUAUUUGAAUGGGUCUCUGAUGAGUCAUAAAUAGUGUUUAAUUCAACACACUGUAUUAACAUAAUCUGUUUAAUGCAGUGCCAGUCUGACUCAGCAGUGAUGAUAUCUUGCAUAUGAAGUAUGCUCACUGGUGGACACCAUCUGCAGGUUACAGUCAGCUGCCAGUCAGAGUCUUAAUGCCACAGGGAGAUUAUAACAGAAAGAAAGCAGUGAUCAGAGACACCUCUCCUUUACUGGAAACUGUUUUUUACAGAUAUGAUAUAAGAAAUUAUGUAAAAAAAAAUAUGCAUUAAGGACUUAAUGGAAAUCACUCAACCUUGCAAAUCGACUUUUUUAUUCCUAACAAAAUGAGUACUGUGGAAUUUGUCCUCUAUCAUCGUCGUUGGGAAACCAUUAGGAAGAGAUUAAAUACAGCAGCUUGGUUAGAGGCCUAACAAUCAAAUAUACACAAGACUUUAGUCCAGGGGUUUAGGGCUUGAUUCCUGGGUGAAAUAGCAAUAGUUGAGUUAGCAGAGAGGUUGAUAUCAUGUUAAAACAUUAGAUAACUCUAAUUUUUAAAAGUACUUGUGCACAUCUAUAUAUGUAAAGCAUGUAGGCAGUCUCGGAGAGAUCAACCAUUGAAUUCUUAGGGGGGAUGAUAAAGCCUCAAGAUGGCAUUCAUCAACUCUUAAAAGAAACAGACAUGGGUGGAGUUGGGGUCAGUGCCACGCAGGCUGCUGGGCAGGUAAGCAGCAACCUCAGCUUUUGAGACAUGUCCACUUAGGACUAGUUCUAAACUCCAGAGGCUACAUACACACCCAUUUAAAAAGGCUAAUUUCACAGUUUGAAUCCGAGUCUCUUCAGUCGAGUCAGCAUAUGGUGAGAGUAGAGUAGGGAGAAGAAGCCACAGGCCAGAAGCAAACUUGGCCCAACCACUUAACUUCUGUGUAUGGGGACCAGGUGUAGACAACAAAUCAAAAAAAUGUUUAAAAACAAAGGAAACAAAAAGAGAAAGAAAGAAAAAAAUAAGGGAAAAGAAAGAAUUCUUGUAGCAUUUGAAAAUGAGAAACUGUUGGUUGUAACGGGGGAAAUUAUAGUAGUACAAUUGAGUGUUCAUAAGAGGCUUUGACAGAUAGACUCGGCACAUUGUGAACCCAUAAAUAGAAAUGUGCCAUAUAAUGUGUUAAAACAACUCACCUGUUCUCAGUUUUAAGAGCUACUUGGAAAAAAUGAACACCACAACGUGUUAUAUCAAGAUUGCGUCCGUGAUAAAUUAAAACCUGCUGGAUAUCAGCAGGUUGCCAUUAUGUUAGCAUGUCAGCGUGCAGACUUUCGCAGGUUGCCAGAAGCACUGCUGUGCUAAAGUCAAACCUGACAGAGCUGCUAGCAUAGCUGUAAAAUCUUGUUAGCCUCUUGUCUUGUUCUGACAAGGAUGUACAGUUUUGUCAGUUGUUGAAUGUACUACAUUAUUGAUGGAUGUGUCUUGAAAGGCCACCGGGCUUUGUUAAGACACACUACUCAAUGGCCAUUUUUUGAUCGUGUUAUUCCGGGUAAAUGCACAACCUUCCUACGUCCCCCUACAUCUGUCUCAUGACUCUGUCUAUUUGCACUCAUGGAAGCCUUCAGUUAUUGUUUGUUAAUUUCAGUUCAAUCAAGCAAAUGUCUGUAUCCUUGUGAGACACAAGAUUUUACAGACACGCCAUAGCAUCUCUGAGCACCUCACCCUCUUUGACCCAUGAUUAAAAAUAAACAUCUAACAGCUGAAUUCAAAAAUCUCCCUCUCACAUCUUACUCACUGCCUCACAAAAACGGAUCCAAACCACGAAACAUUGACUGCUGGUGCUGGCACAGUUAGAGAUAAAUAGAUGAUAUUUGGAGGGGAGCCUAAUUGUACACCAGCUUUGAUGUUAUAACUGUUGGAAAGAAUCUCAUGUUCUCGAGACACUAAUUAAAUUACAGUGAAUCAAAGAGCACACUUACUGAGUACGCCAGUGACAUGAGGCUACUUUAGAAGAGGAAAGAAGUAGCCAGACCUCAAUUGAUAUUGACUUUAACAGGAAAGAUUUAUCAUCAGCAGACAUAAACUUCAAGUCUCAUGAUAGAAGUUACAUUCACACAUGCAUCCCUCUCCUAAAAAUGUCUGGAAAAUGUCAGGGUGAUGUGCAUUAGUGUAUACAAAAGGUCAAAUCAGGCCUACUCUAGGUCUCAAACAAAUGCACCUGAGCCCGUACCUGUCAGCCUUCUUGUCUGAGAAAACCAAGAUGCAAAAGUAGCAAGUAAUGGGUCUGAAACAUUUACCGUAAACCAGUUGGUAAGUGGUGGCACUGCUCAAGUCAAAAGGGGUCUCACAGUUUCAUCCUUUCGCCUGAUUUGUCUAAGUAUUGUUACUUCUGUUGUGUUUGUGUUGACUUCUUUUUUUUAUUUGAAUUGUAUGGUGUAACACAAGCUUCCACUUGGAGGUACACACAGUAUGUAGGCCUUAAGGCAAUUCCAGGAGCAUGUCUUAAGUUCUGCAUGGGCCACUUGAAGAAUUUGAUGGACCACCCCUGGUACCACCCAAAGUCCUUGAUUAUUGGAUAUUUCCCAAAGUUGUUCCUUUUGUGUUGAAGAUGAGAUCAUUUUCUUCUGUGCACAAGAUGAUUGACUAAACUUUUCAGGACUUGUAUAUUAUGACUCCUUCAAAGGGUUGCAAAGGGAUGGAACAUUUCCUGUAUAUUUCUGGAAAAAUUUCCAUGGGAAGUUAAGCUGGGGAAUUUUGGAAAUAUUCGGAAGUGGAAACUUUCCAUGGUAAUUAUGGGAAUUUAUGGGAAUUAACUGGAAAAAAGAAAACUGUUUUGCAGGAUUUAAAAAAAAAACAGCAUCACAUUUGAGUCAGCUACCACCACCAUAAUAAGCUAGCCCCUUGAAUGGUCAAUAAAAUGAAAAAUAGCUUACAUUUAGCACCUAUUUUUAUUUAAUUUUUGCAAGUUAACUAACUUGACUUUAUAUAGUCCGUCGGCUCAAAUGUCUUGUGCUUUGGGCUUAAAAGUGUGGCCUCCAGAGUUCAAGAAAUCAUCUGUGUGUGAGAUAGAGGAAUGCACAGUGCAUGUGGGGUGUGCGGCCUCAAGAGCCUUGCAUUCAGCAGUGUGCUAUGUGCAUGUGAUUGAGGAGUGUACUUGCAUUAAAUCUGGUUGUUUUAGCCAAGAUUAUGUUACUUCUCCCACCUUUAUUUAAGUUCCCUGUUGAGGGCCAACCUUCAAUUUUGUAAAUUUCAGAUUUAUUCCCUUUAAUUCCCGUUAAUUCCCAUGGAAUUUAUUUUGCAACCCUACUCCUUCAUUUCAGUCUUUCGAGUAGAUAUCAGCGCUCUUAUCAGUAACAGUCUUUAUUAAUUAAUUGAAUAUGGAUAUCAUAAUAAAAUUCGCAAACAGUAAUGCUGUGAGUUCAUAAAAGUAAUCCUUGAUGGUUGCUACAUGUCAUAAAACAAGGGAGAGACAGAGCAGCAACAGAUCGUCUUGAAACUGGCUUGAAGCAUCUCUCUGAGAGAUGACAUCACUUUUAAAAACAGUUAUUUCAUGAUUUUUGGAGCUUAUGCCUCUUAAAGUUACUAAUCAAUCAAACUUCUGUACUUUCUGACCUUUCUUCUGUUUUCAUUCAGUUUCAUAAGUCUCUUACAGAAGUUAGCUUACUCUUCAAAAUAAAAGCUACGAAAAUAAAAAAUAAUAGAUUUAAAAUGUAGGAACAAAUUACAAAGUAAAAGCAUGCCAAAAUAUGUUUCUAUGAGGUAAUGUAAAAUAGGUUUUAGUUAAACAACCAGUGAUGUGGAUAAAUCAUAAAUUUGAACAUAAUUAGAUAUGGUUGAUGGCAUGGAAGUUAUCUGUUUAUUUGUACAUAUAAUCAACUUUGGUAUUAAUAAACAAUACAUCAUGUUGUUCCUUCCUUUUCUUGCCUUUUCUUAUUUUAACUGUUGUAUUAAAUUUCAAGUUUUCCAUGAAUAUCGUCAUAAUGUUGUUAUUGUGAUGUAUUUUGGCCACAAUAAUCAUGAGCAAAAAUCUGAUAUGGUGUUAGCCUUAGGAGAUAUGAAUAAAGGAGGCAAAAGGUUUAAUAAAUGCUUUCCCGUUGUGUGUGUCGAUGCAGACACAUCGCACCACCCCUGCAUAUGUCAGUGCCCCAGACAAGCCACCCCUGCCAAUAAAAUCUGGACACACUCCUGAGAAAUCCUUGGUAUAUCAUGAUGAAACCUUUAUUGUUCCCAGAUGGAAUUUGAUUUUCACCUGGCGUACAAAAACACAUAAAAGACAAAGAUAUUAACAGCCAUAAAACAAUAAACAGUAAACAAAGUGUUUCAAAAGGAGCAUCCUAAAAGCAUUGCAGAGGAACGUUGAGUGUGAAGUUCAGUGAGAUGCAGCAUUAAAGAGCAUUACAGAGUCCAGAGUGUGUAUCAGAGUUUGUUCUGCAUGGGACAAAGGAUGUGAUGCCUCUUUUAGUCCAGAUCCUGGGCUAUCUUUACCUGCACCCUGAAGUUAAAAGUGUGUAUUCAGACCAAAAGGGUUCAGUGAGUCUGCUGUCUGGUGAAUGUCAACAAGACUUAAGGAAUUCUUUUGUAAAAGAGUCUUAGUAUCAAUAAAUAGAAUAAAAAAUAAAAGUAGUGUCCUCAUUGUGUCAUGUUUGAUAAAAAAUUGGGAAUCAUUUCCCUUUUUCUGACCAGCAGCCAGAUAGAAAAUGACGAAAUCUAAAUAAGUCUUUGCUUUCUUUGGAGCGUAUGAGAUUGCUCCUGCAUUUUGAGCAGAAACACAAAUCUUUUAAAUAAUGCAUUCAAAGCAUUGCAGGAUUAAGUCUCCUUUAGCAUCAGCUCAGAAUGAUCUUGCCUACUUUCUGCUUUAUAAAGAAGGAAUUCUGACGUUUUAAUUUUUUAUUAACAAAUCAGGGCUUAGUGCAACCGUUUCACUCGCAUUUGUGACUAAUAGCAACAGCAGCAUGGUUAAAUCCACACUGCAGUGAAGUUAGUUUUUGGUUGGAUAUCUGACGGACAUUCACUGCAGAUCUACUGGUGUCUUCUCACUCUCCACAACCAGCAAUAGCAACAGCAGCGUGGUUAAAUCUACUCGGCACCCUCGCUGUCAACGUUGGGUGUUGAAUAAGGGACUAUCAAUAAAUGUACUCAAAAAAUGCUGUUUCCCUUCAAUAGCUUCCAUGUCAUGAGACCAAUUGACUUAAAAUUGAUUUUAAUUAAUAGUACUAAUGUCGGACAAUGAGACACACCUCUUUAUUUCCCUAAUUUGUCCUCUAAAAAUUUUUUUGUUUUAAAUUUAAAGGCUAAUUUUGAACCUUUCCUUCAAUAGCUUCCAUGUCAUGUGACCAACUGACCUAAAUUUGAUUUCAAAUAAUAAUACUUAUGUUGACCGAUGAGACACACAUUAUUUGAUCACUUUUCAUUGUGCCCCUAACUUUUGUGACUUAGGAGCACAUGUGCUCCUUGUGAAAAAUGUUAGUGUCUAGCCCUGCAAAUACCAAAUUGCACAUUAGCACACAGCAAACAGAAAUAAGACAUCCAUGUAAACUUUUAGUGCAAAAGAAUAAUCGUAGAAUAACGUAACCAGUGCAGCAGAUGUUGAAUUGGAGCAAACAGAAUCGCUGUGUUGCUGUGUGUGACAUUAAUUAAAAGAAAAAAAAAGGUUGGAUUGGAACGCUGGAUGGGCGUCAUUCAUCAAAUAUCCGAUCCAGUUAAAUUGUCAAUAGAGCCAAUAUCUGAUCCAAAUAUCGGAUCCAAAUAUCGGAUCAGUGCAUCCCUGGUAAAUAGUAAAAGAAUGGACAUCAGGGAAAAAAAGUGAUGUGAAAUUGAAAUUAUACAUUUUGCAAUCAAUCCAUGCAAGCCUGCAAAGCAUACAAGACCAGACCUCUCUGGUUCCCCACUUAAAUUAACUCAAUUUGACAUAUUUUGUAUUGCAUCUGCAGAAGUGUCCUGAGUUUGCAUACUUUAGAUACACUCUGAGGUGCUUUGCCCCAAAGUAAAGCUUCACUAUAAAAAUAAGAAUGGAUGAACACAAAACAAUAUUGGAGAGGCGGUAAAAUGGCAGAGUGUGCAGGUCUGUGCAGAUGUUGUAAAGUAGUCCAAAGUACCAUAGUAAAUAGUCACGUAAUGGUGAUGGAUGUGAGAUAGUAUCAGGUUUACAGUCAGUUCACAGUUUGAGGAGGAGAGAGGAGAAUAAGUGCAUCCUCCUGUGUUUAUUUAGCAGUGAGGUUAUUUAUGCAUAUUGUAAAGCUGCUUGCAGAGUUAGGUUAGGAUUCUGCAGGUUUUACAUCACCAUCUCUCUCUGUGACCCCCCUUGACAUGUACGAUUUCUCAUCCUUACAUAAUGUGUUCUUGUAGGUUUGACCUUGAGCCACAUGGGAGUUGUUUGUGAUGUUCGCUGGACUGACAUUUGGAGCUUUUCCACACAUAAAAGUCAACCUCUUUAGACUCACUUUCCAACAGUGUGAGAUACACUACAGUUAAUGUACGCUGUCAAAGUCCAAGCAAAUUAAAUGCAGAGUUAAUGGAACUUCUUAACAAAUCAUGGUCUGCAAUUUUCCUCUUCAAGCCUCAGUGCCAUUUCAAAUAACUUUCUGCAUCUCAUUUUGUGCAAAUGAUUUCGCUAUGCGCUGAAAGAUCUCAGCAUGACUUUUCAUUGCAUCUCUUUCCCCUCCAACAACUACAGAGAGAAAAAAAAUAAUAAUCAGCAAUUAGAAGUGAGGCUGCUUUUUCUAUUUGUAAUCAGCUUAUCGAAUAACUGGCCUCCAUGAUUUAUUUUGUCUAACCGCAACCAGUUCAAAUUGCAGUAUGUACUGUAACAGAUUCAUCAUUAGCUACUAUGGGGUGGGGUGAAAAUUGUGCAUUUAGAUAGCAGUGUGACAAUGUCCCGGGAGCUGCUAUUUUAAAGUUGAACUGGACACUUUCGCCUUUUUCACUGCUUUUAUUUAACAUUGCACAGAGCUUCCAGCAUAAGUACUCCGUCUGUCUGCCCUGUUCUGCCUCCCUCCUCCUCCAUCCUGCUGUCCUGAAGAAAUGCUCCAGGGAGUGGACUCACCGUCUGUUCUUUUUUGGGAAAGAAAAAAAAAAAGGAAAAAAACACAACUCUUACGUGUCUUCACCUUUGGCACCAGGAGGAAAUAUUGGCUAUAACCUCACAAGAUAAUUGUGUCUGCAGUCAAAAGCAGGAGGGGGCGUGGGGGCCUCCUCUGAGCUGUUUUUGGCCUCCCAGACAGAGCUAUAAGCCCGCCCGCUCAGCUGUAAUGGUCUUCGUGCUUGCCUGGCUGCCCUUGGCAUUAGACGCAGACCUUUAUUACCCUGCAGGAAGCCGGUUCAUUACAGCCACGCUUCCCUCCUCUG